rnacentral:rRNA from 1 species
CCAAUAGCGUAUAUUAAAGUUGUUGCAGUUAAAAAGCUCGUAGUUGAAUUUCGGGAUCAAUAUAUCGGUAGUGCCAUUGGUACGUACUGGUAUCAUUGAUUUCUCCUUUCUGACGAACCAUGAUGUCAUUAAUUUGGUGUUAUGGGGAGUUAGGACUGUUACUUUGAAAAAAUUAGAGUGUUUAAAGCAGGCAUUAGCUUGAAUACAUUAGCAUGGAAUAAUGAAAUAGGACGUUUGACCCUAUUUUGUUGGUUUCUAGGAUCGACGUAAUGAUUAAUAGGGAUAGUUGGGGGCAUUAGUAUUCAAUUGUCAGAGGUGAAAUUCUUGGAUUUAUUGAAGACUAACUACUGCGAAAGCAUUUGCCAAGGAUGUUUUCAUUAAUCAAGAACGAAAGUUAGGGGAUCGAAGACGAUCAGAUACCGUCGUAGUCUUAACCAUAAACUAUGCCGACUAGGGAUCGGAUGAUGUUAAUUUUAUAAUGACUCAUUCGGCGCCUUACG